AGAGUUUGAUCCUGGCUCAGAACGAACGCUGGCGGCAUGCCUAACACAUGCAAGUCGAACGGGAUCCUAGCUUGCUAGGUGAGAGCGGCGCACGGGUGAGUAACGCGUGGGAACCUGCCCAGAGGUUCGGGACAACCGCGGGAAACUGCGGCUAAUACCGGAUGAUACCUGAGGGUCAAAGAUUUAUCGCCUUUGGAGGGGCCCGCGUCGGAUUAGGUAGUUGGUGGGGUAACGGCUCACCAAGCCUAUGAUCCGUAACUGGUCUGAGAGGAUGACCAGUCACACUGGGACUGAGACACGGCCCAGACUCCUACGGGAGGCAGCAGUGGGGAGUAUUGGACAAUGGGGGCAACCCUGAUCCAGCAAUGCCGCGUGGGUGAUGAAGGCCUUCGGGUUGUAAAGCCCUUUCGGCGGGGACGAUGAUGACGGUACCCGCAGAAGAAGCCCCGGCUAACUUCGUG
rnacentral:rRNA from 1 species